rnacentral:rRNA from 1 species
GAUGAACCGCGUGGGCGGCGUGCUUAACGACAUGCAAGUCGAACGAGGAAUCGAACGGAAGUUGAGGAUUCGUCCAAAUGAAGUUGAGGAAAGUGGCGGACGGGUGAGUAACGCGUGGGUAACCUGCCUUAUACAGGGGGAUAACAGUUAGAAAUGGCUGCUAAUACCGCAUAAGCGCACAGGACCGCAUGGUCUGGUGUGAAAAACUCCGGUGGUAUAAGAUGGACCCGCGUCUGAUUAGCUAGUUGGCGGGGUAACGGCCCACCAAGGCGACGAUCAGUAGCCGGACUGAGAGGUUGACCGGCCACAUUGGGACUGAGAUACGGCCCAG